CGGCAACAGCUCAAAUUUGAAAUCUGGCCCUUGUGGUCCGAGUUGUAAUUUGUAGAGGAUGCUUUUGGUGAGGUACCUUCCGAGUUCCCUGGAACGGGACGCCAUAGAGGGUGAGAGCCCCGUCUGGUUGGAUACCGAGCCUCUGUAAAGCUCCUUCGACGAGUCGAGUAGUUUGGGAAUGCUGCUCUAAAUGGGAGGUAUAUGUCUUCUAAAGCUAAAUAUUGGCCAGAGACCGAUAGCGCACAAGUAGAGUGAUCGAAAGAUGAAAAGCACUUUGAAAAGAGGGUUAAAUAGUACGUGAAAUUGUUGAAAGGGAAGCGCUUGUGACCAGACUUGGGCUUGGUUAAUCAUCCAGGGUUCUCCCUGGUGCACUUGGCCAGCCCAGGCCAGCAUCAGUUUGUCGCGGGGGAUAAAGGCGUCGGGAAUGUGGCUCCCUCGGGAGUGUUAUAGCCCUUCGUGUAAUACCCUGCUUUAGACUGAGGUUCGCGCAUCUGCAAGGAUGCUGGCGUAAUGGUCAUCAGCGACCCGUCUUGAAACACGGACCAAGGAGUCGUCUUCGUAUGCGAGUGUUCGGGUGUCAAACCCCUACGCGUAAUGAAAGUGAACGCAGGUGAGAGCUUCGGCGCAUCAUCGACCGAUCCUGAUGUUCUCGGAUGGAUUUGAGUAAGAGCAUACGGGGCCGGACCCGAAAGAAGGUGAACUAUGCCUGUGUAGGGUGAAGCCAGAGGAAACUCUGGUGGAGGCUCGCAGCGGUUCUGACGUGCAAAUCGAUCGUCAAACAUGGGCAUGGGGGCGAA
rnacentral:rRNA from 1 species